UGGGGAAUAUUGCACAAUGGGCGCAAGCCUGAUGCAGCCAUGCCGCGUGUAUGAAGAAGGCCUUCUGGUUGUAAAGUACUUUCAGCGAGGAGGAAGGCGUUGUGGUUAAUAACCGCAACGAUUGACGUUACUCGCAGAAGAAGCACCGGCUAACUCCGUGCCAGCAGCCGCGGUAAUACGGAGGGUGCAAGCGUUAAUCGGAAUUACUGGGCGUAAAGCGCAAGCAGGCGGUCUGUCAAGUCGGAUGUGAAAUCCCCGGGCUCAACCUGGGAACUGCAUCCGAAACUGGCAGGCUAGAGUCUUGUAGAGGGGGGUAGAAUUCCAAGUGUAGCGGUGAAAUGCGUAGAGAUCUGGAGGAAUACCGGUGGCGAAGGCGGCCCCCUGGACAAAGACUGACGCUCAGGUGCGAAAGCGUGGGGAGCAAACA
rnacentral:rRNA from 1 species